AACCUCUUUAUCUCUUAUUCACAAUUGAUUGCCAUAUUCCACCAUGAAAAUAUACAGUGCAAAAAACAUCAACAAAAAUGGUGGCAUUAGCUUCUUCAUCUCUCUGCAAUUCCCCUUCUUCAAUUAUCCAUUCCUCAAAAACAUCUAUACCCAAUUUCAUUACAUUCUCUUCCUUAAGUUAUUACAAGAAAAGGGGAAAAUCGCUUGCAAGUCGUAGCCUUGGAAUUGUUGCUGCUACUGAAGGUUCUGUUAACAAAUCUAGUGGAAAAGAUGAGGAAAAACAAGAAGACCCAUCAGUUCCUACAUGGGCUAAACCCGGUACGGAUGAGCCUCCACCAUGGGCUAGAAAUGAAGCACAGAAAGAUUCUUCAAGCAUUCAAGUUCCAUUCGUUGUUUAUUUGCUUGCUUCUGCUGUCACAGCAAUUGCAGCGAUUGGUUCUAUUUUCGAGUACACGAAUCAGAAACCUGUGUUUGGAGUUUUGGGUUCAGAUAGUGUUUUUUAUGCUCCAUUGCUUGGGUUCUUUGUGUUCACUGGCAUUCCCACUUCUGCAUUCCUUUGGUUCAAAUCAGUACAAGUUGCUAACAAGGAGGCUGAGGAACAAGACCGCAGGGAUGGAUAUAUGUAACAUCUAAUAUGCAAUCUUUAGGUGAUAUCUGCAGCAUCUUAUAUGCAUUUUUCAGAUGUUGUUGAUGGUUGUUUCCUAAAAUACUAUCAUCGCAAAUGAAUACUUUCUCGAGUCUACUUCCUUUGAGCUUUUCAACUCUCUGGGGCGGUGAAGUUCAUCCAUUUCUCCAAGAGAAGAGAAAAGAUAGGGAAGCAACAUCAUAUGAAGUCAUGUGAACACAACUUUUGUCCCUGUAGGGAGGACAAUUGUAUUUUUCCCUCAGAAAUGAACUUUAAUAUAGAAAUAUGUCAUGGGCAUUUCGAAUCAGAAAGGAACUUCAAUAUAGAAAUAUGUCAUGGGCAUUUCAAAUAUAAAUGCAUAGUGAUUGCACUCAAACUAUUUGGCUCUUGGAACUGGCGGUAGUGAGCAGUAUGAGCUGUGAUUUCAAAUCUUGUAACUGUAGUUUUGUGAUAAGAAUGGAAAAUGAUAAAUAAACGAGCAGGACUAAAUUCUCCA